rnacentral:rRNA from 1 species
AACGCGAAGAACCUUACCAAGGCUUGACAUACACCGGAAAGCAUUAGAGAUAGUGCCCCCCUUGUGGUCGGUGUACAGGUGGUGCAUGGCUGUCGUCAGCUCGUGUCGUGAGAUGUUGGGUUAAGUCCCGCAACGAGCGCAACCCUUGUCCCGUGUUGCCAGCAACUCUUCGGAGGUUGGGGACUCACGGGAGACCGCCGGGGUCAACUCGGAGGAAGGUGGGGACGACGUCAAGUCAUCAUGCCCCUUAUGUCUUGGGCUGCACACGUGCUACAAUGGCCGGUACAAUGAGCUGCGAUACCGUGAGGUGGAGCGAAUCUCAAAAAAGCCGGUCUCAGUUCGGAUUGGGGUCUGCAACUCGACCCCAUGAAGUCGGAGUCGCUAGUAAUCGCAGAUCAGCAUUGCUGCGGUGAAUACGUUCCCGGGCCUUGUACACACCGCGAGC